AUUGAACGCUGGCGGCAGGCCUAACACAUGCAAGUCGAGCGGAGCGGGGGACGGGUGAGUGAUGCCUAGGAAUCUGCCUGGCAGUGGGGGAUAACGACCGGAAACGGGCGCUAAUACAUAACACUAUCUGAUGGCCCCAGGUCGGAUUAGCUAGUUGGUGGGGUAAAGGCCUACCAAGGCGACGAUCCGUAACUGGUCUGAGCGGAUGAUCAGUCACAUUGGAACUGAGACACGGUCCAGACUCCUACGGGAGGCAGCAGGGGGGAAUAUUGGACAAUGGGCGAAAGCCUGAUCCAGCCAUGCCGCGUGUGUGAAGAAGGUCUUCGGGUUGUAAAGCACUUUAAGUUGGGAGGCGUUACCAACAGAAGAAGCACCGGCUAACUCCGUGCCAGCAGCCGCGGUAAUAC
rnacentral:rRNA from 1 species